AUACGGAGGAUGCGAGCGUUAUCCGGAUUUAUUGGGUUUAAAGGGUGCGUAGGCUGUGCGUUAAGUCAGGGGUGAAAUGCCGUCGCUCAACGACGGAGCUGCCCUUGAUACUGGCGUGCUGGAGUACGGAUGCCGUUGGAGGAAUGAGUGGUGUAGCGGUGAAAUGCUUAGAUAUCACUCAGAACACCGAUUGCGAAGGCAUCUGACGAAUCCGUCACUGACGCUGAGGCACGAAAGCGUGGGGAUAGAACAGGAUUAGAUACCCUGGUAUUCCACGCCGUAAACGAUGAUGACUAACCGUCGGCGAUAGACAGCCGGUGGCCAAGCGAAAGCGAUAAGUCAUCCACCUGGGGAGUACGUCGGCAACGAUGAAACUCAAAGGAAU
rnacentral:rRNA from 1 species